rnacentral:rRNA from 1 species
GGCCGAUCGCGAGCGCGCCCGCCGUGCCGAUCACUUCGGAGUGCGUGUCGUUGCCGUGCGCCAUCGUGCGCGACGCAUAGAACAUCGCGAGCCGGCCGCCUUCGAACUCGCAGAUCGCGACGCCGUUGUCGACGUCGCCGCACGCGCGCAGCCCCUCGUGCAGCGCGACCGCGCCCGCCGCGUACACGCGCGUCGCGCGCGGCGCGCCGAGCAGCCAUCGUGCGACGUCGAUGUCGUGCACGGUGCAAUCGAGGAAGAUGCCGCCCGAGCUCGGCACGAAGCGCACGAAAAAGCCCUCGGGAUCGUUCCGGUCGCAGGUCUGCGAGCGCACGAGGAACGGCCGGCCGAUCUCGCCCGCCGCGACGCGCGCGUACGCGUCGCGAUAGCUCGGAUCGAAGCGGCGCAUGAAACCGAUCGUCGCGACGAGAUGCGGCCGCGCGCGCGCCUCGGCGAGCACCCGCUCGCAUUCGCCGAGAUCGAGCGACAGCGGUUUCUCGCAGAACACGUGCUUGCCCGCGCGCAACGCGGCGACGAUCUGGUCCGCGUGCAGCGCCGACGGCGUGACGAGCCAGAGCGCGUCGAGCUCGGGAUCGGCCGCGAGCGCGUCGAAAUCCUCGUAGACGCGCGGCACGGCGAGCGUCUCGCGCGCCCACGCGCACUCGUCGGCAAGCGGGCUGCACGCGGCCGCGAGCCGCGCGCCCGCGACGCGCCGCGCGAGGUUCUCCGCGUGGCGCCGGCCGAGCCGGCCGAGCCCCGCGAUGCCGAUGCGCACCGCAGCGGCGCUGUGACUGACUAUCAUCGCAUCGCUCCUUCAGGCCGCCCGCUCGCCGAGCGUCACCGCGCGGGCCUCGCGCCACGACAGCGUCGCCGCCUCGGCGAGCUCGAGCGCCUUCACGCCGUCGGCGACCGUCGUGCGCACCGGCUCGCCGCUCGUCACCGCCGCGAAGAAAUGCGCGAUCUCGCGCGCGUACGCGGCGCGAUAGCGCUCGAGGAAGAACGCCUCGGGCAGAUCCGUCGACACCGCGCGCGCCGAGUAGCCCGUCACCUCGGUCGGCCGCACGUUGCCCGCCUGCAGCAUGCCGGCGCUGCCGAGCACUUCGAAGCGCUGAUCGUAGCCGUAUGCGGCGCGGCGCGACGUGUUGAUCUGGCAGAGCCGGCCGCGCUUCGUGCGGAUCGUGACCGCGGCCGAAUCGAUGUCGCCCGCGCCGGCGAUCGCCGGGUCGGUCAGGCAACUGCCCGUCGCGUGCAGCGUGUCGGCAUCGUCGUCGAGGAUCCAGCGGAAGAUGUCGAAAUCGUGGAUCAGCAUGUCCUUGAAGAUGCCGCCCGAGUGCUUGAUGUAGUCGACGGGCGGCGCGCCCGGAUCGCGGCUCGUCACGACGAGCAUCUCCGGCGUGCCGAUCUCGCCCGCGUCGAUGCGGCGCUUGAGCGC